CCUACGGGCGGCUGCAGUGGGGAAUAUUGGACAAUGGGGGCAACCCUGAUCCAGCCAUGCCGCGUGUGUGAAGAAGGCCCUCGGGUUGUAAAGCACUUUCAGUGAGGAAGAACGCCUGGUGGUUAAUACCCAUCAGGAAAGACAUCACUCACAGAAGAAGCACCGGCUAACUCCGUGCCAGCAGCCGCGGUAAUAUGGAGGGUGCGAGCGUUAAUCGGAAUUACUGGGCGUAAAGCGCGCGUAGGUGGCUUGAUAAGCCGGUUGUGAAAGCCCCGGGCUCAACCUGGGAACGGCAUCCGGAACUGUCAAGCUAGAGUGCAGGAGAGGAAGGUAGAAUUCCCGGUGUAGCGGUGAAAUGCGUAGAGAUCGGGAGGAAUACCAGUGGCGAAGGCGGCCUUCUGGACUGACACUGACACUGAGGUGCGAAAGCGUGGGUAGCAAACAGGAUUAGAUACCCUGGUAGUC
rnacentral:rRNA from 1 species